rnacentral:tRNA from 4 species
GCGCUCGUAGCUCAGUGGAUUAGAGCAUCUGGCUUCGAACCAGAGGGUCGGGGGUUCGAUCCCCUCCGAGCGCACAA